UACGUAGGGUGCAAGCGUUGUCCGGAAUUAUUGGGCGUAAAGAGCUCGUAGGCGGUCUGUCACGUCGGACGUGAAAAUCCAGGGCUCAACCCUGGACCUGCGUUCGAUACGGGCAGACUAGAGUUCGGUAGGGGAGACUGGAAUUCCUGGUGUAGCGGUGAAAUGCGCAGAUAUCAGGAGGAACACCGGUGGCGAAGGCGGGUCUCUGGGCCGAUACUGACGCUGAGGAGCGAAAAGCGUGGGGAGCGAACAGG
rnacentral:rRNA from 1 species